UAGAACCUGAAACCGUGCGCUUACAAGCAGUCAGAGCCUGAUGCCGCAAGGCCGGGUGAUGGCGUGCCUCUUGGAGAAUGAGCCAACGAGUUACUCUCAGUGGCCAGGUUAAGGCAGUUGCAGCCGGAGCCGAAGCGAAAGCGAGUCUGAAUAGGGCGUAUAGUCGCUGGAAGUAGACCCGAAACCGGGUGAGCUAUCCAUGGUCAGGCUGAAGCGGGAGUAAUGUCCCGUGGAGGGCCGAACCCUUGUACGUUGCAAAGUGCUGGGAUGAACUGUGGAUAGGGGUGAAAUGCCAAACGAACCCGGAGAUAGCUGGUUCUCGCCGAAAUAGCUUUAGGGCUAGCGUCAUACCGUUUAGUACCGGAGGUAGAGCACUGAAUGAGGUAGGGGGCAAAACGCCUACCGAACUCAAUCAAACUCCGAAUGCCGGUACUCAAGAGGGCGGCAGUCGGACUACGUGAGAUGAGUCUCGUAGUCGAGAGGGAAAGAGCCCAGACCGUCAGCUAAGGUCCUCAAGUGAUAGCUAAGUGGGAAAG
rnacentral:rRNA from 1 species